rnacentral:sRNA from 1 species
GCCCUUUGUAAGGUGGUGGUAGCGGAAACGCCCACACGGCUACUGUGAUGGCCGAGGACACCUAAGCAGAGGGCGUUU